rnacentral:lncRNA from 1 species
AUGCAACAAGGACGUGCGGGGUUUACAGACAAGAGCAGAGUGAGGGUCGGGGAUGGGAAACUAUUAGGAGGGACAUCAAGGCUCGGGCCCCACAGGAUUCUCGCCGAAGGCAGCAAGGACUUAGAUACCGAGGGAUCUCUAAGACGUCGGAGGGGCCCAGCUAAUGUUUGGCAAGGAGGACGUCUUUGUCAGGAGGCAGGAAGGGCUGGGGUCCCGUGCCCAAGGGGGGCCGUCUCGAUAGAACAGUCAGUGCACAGUGACAGCAGCCAGGGCGGGGAGCCCAGAGCACACACACCGGUGGGGGAUGCGUUGCUGGAGAAGGCUAGUUGUCACUGGCCCUGGGGGCAGAGCUGCUGCCCGAUGCCACUGAGAGGCGUCCUGCCCGGGAUGGCUGCCUUGGCCAGGUCCUCCCUCUAUUUUACCGGCUUCAUUCACCGGGUGGUGAACUCGACCAUCCCACCAGGAGCCUCUCCUCCAGGGAGUGCAGGUUCCUCCGCUCUGCCAUCAUCCCAGGGUUCCAGCUGGGCUGUGAGAUGCGGGGGCACACAGACGUCUUCCACGCCCCAUGCAAGGGCCUCAACGAACCUUAGGCCUCCAACUGUGCUCCUGAGCACCCUGCCUGGGGUCCUCCAGGGACACUGUGCUCUCUGCAUGCAGACAGGGCCCGAUGUGGAAUGCGUGGAGCCAGCAGAGGAAAAGACGAGGGUACAGGCCGCCUGCUCCUGCCGAUCCCAAACGUCCACCCUGAAAUCCAGACGUGCAUACAGACGUCGCUACCCCACCAGGACCCUGCGUGUGGCGCGCAGGAUGUGCAACGUGGACUCCAGCUGGUUCUUAGAACCAAAGCUUACCAUACAACCAUUCUUCAGAAAUCUCUCACAAAAGGCCAUUCCUGCUUUUCUGAAUAAGCCCCAGACAACGGUCCACAAACCAGAGUGCAAGGCAAAGGCGUGUCAAAGCAGAGCACAGGGGACCGGACACUUGCUCCCCGGGACCCCCUAUGGGGGGCUGUAUUGCUUGUCAAAGAUGCGUGGUGUCAUUCUUUUGGGGCAUGGUCUCACGCUGGCUGGCCCAAGCUCGCCACUUGCUAAGGAGCAAGCCAGUCCAUCACCCCUCUUCAUGUGCUUUCUCUCCUGCUGGCCCUUUUUCGGGCACAAGGAGGGGAAAUGCUCCUUCAGAAGGCCCCGAUUUCUGCUUUGA